UGCCAGCAGCCGCGGUAAUACGGAGGGUGCGAGCGUUGUCCGGAUUUAUUGGGUUUAAAGGGUGCGUAGGCGGUUUAAUAAGUCAGUGGUGAAAUCAUGCAGCUCAACUGUAUAAGUGCCAUUGAUACUGUUAGACUUGAGUAUACUAUAGGCAGGCGGAAUUUAUGAUGUAGCGGUGAAAUGCAUAGAUAUCAUAAAGAACCCCGAUAGCGAAGGCAGCUUGCCGGAGUAUAACUGACGCUGAUGCACGAAAGCGUGGGUAGCGAACAGGAUUAGAUA
rnacentral:rRNA from 1 species